rnacentral:rRNA from 1 species
UACGUAGGGUCCGAGCGUUGUCCGGAAUUAUUGGGCGUAAAGAGCUCGUAGGCGGUUUGUCGCGUCUGCUGUGAAAUCCCGAGGCUCAACCUCGGGCCUGCAGUGGGUACGGGCAGACUGGAGUGCGGUAGGGGAGAAUGGAAUUCCUGGUGUAGCGGUGGAAUGCGCAGAUAUCAGGAGGAACACCAAUAGCGAAGGCAGCUCGCUGGGACGGUACUGACGCUAAGGCGCGAAAGCGUGGGGAGCGAACAGG